UCGCCUACGGGACGCAGCAGUGGGGAAUAUUGCACAAUGGGGGGAACCCUGAUGCAGCGACGCCGCGUGAGUGAAGAAGUAUUUCGGUAUGUAAAGCUCUAUCAGCAGGGAAGAAGAUGACGGUACCUGACUAAGAAGCCCCGGCUAACUACGUGCCAGCAGCCGCGGUAAUACGUAGGGGGCAAGCGUUAUCCGGAUUUACUGGGAGUAAAGGGAGCGUAGACGGCAGGGCAAGUCUGGAGUGAAAGCCCGGG
rnacentral:rRNA from 1 species